UACGGAGGGGGCUAGCGUUGUUCGGAAUUACUGGGCGUAAAGCGCGCGUAGGCGGAUCUGCAAGUCGGGGGUGAAAUCCCGAGGCUCAACCUCGGAACUGCCUUCGAUACUGCGGGUCUCGAGUCCGGGAGAGGUGAGUGGGAAUUCCUAGUGUAGAGGUGAAAUUCGUAGAUAUUAGGAAGAACACCAGUGGCGAAGGCGGCUCACUGGCCCGGUACUGACGCUGAGGCGCGAAAGCGUGGGGA
rnacentral:rRNA from 1 species